UUUGUGAAAGGCUAUGGGGUCAGUCACCGCCAUUUUGUGGCAGGCCAGAGAAUCACUCUGCCAUUUUGUGGCAGGCCAUGGGUCAAUUGCUGCCAUUUUGUGGCAGGCCAUGUGGUUAUUCCACCAUUUUGUGGCAGGACAUGGGGUCAUUCACUGCCAUUUUGUGAUAGGUCAUAGGAUCACUCCACCAUUUUGUGGCAGGCCAUGAGGUCUUUCCACCAUUUUGUGGCAGGCCAUGAGGUCUUUCCACCAUUUUGUGGCAGGCCAUGGGGUCAUUCCACCAUUUUAUGUCAGGCUACGUGUCAGUCUGCCAUUUUGGGGCACAUGUGUUUUUCAAGGGUUCUGUGUCUGCUUGUGUUUUCUCAUGAGCCUUUGACAUAAAUCUGCUGUUGCUGGGAACUGGGAAGAAUGUCCUUGCAAAGGAAAUUGUUCUGCGAACCAUUGAUCUGUGUGCAGAAUUCAAGCACAUGUGCUGUUUCUGCUCUGAGGACUUGUUCCCUUGUCCUGCUACACCUGUGUGACCACACCAGCUGCAAGACAUGAUCUAGUUAUGACUGAGAAUCUGCCUGACCCUACUGGGGUAGCUGACUUUUUGUAACUCUGCCUUCUCCAAGUUACUGCUCUUCGUGCAAAAGUCGGGAAAAAGAAGAAAUCUGGAUGUCCCUGACACUGCCAGCACAGUCCCUCUGUCCUGCUUCCAUUAGAUCUCUUGCAAGGAUCAUACUUAAAAGUUAAGUUUUGGUGAAGAAAAAGCAGAAAACAGUAUUAUCAAUAUGAGAGACGCCCUGGGCUGGAGGAUUGGGUGGUUUGAGGGGCCAGGCAGCAUCUUGAGAGCUUUUCACCUGAGCACCCCAUCCCAGCGCCACUGGAAGCGGUCACUGCCAGAAGGUUGGAAGGAGCCAUGACUCCUUGUCUGUCUCUGGGAGGUAACAGAACCGGGGAGGAGUUCCCAGGCAUGGUCUGACUGUGCUGGAACAAGAUCAAGACAGGGAAGUUGGAUUCCCCUGAGUCCAGGAUGCACAAUUGUUUCAGAAAGAACCUGGUCUAAAGUUAAGGCUACCAUAGACCAGUUCAUUUGAAAUAUCAAAGUCCCUAAAAGAUGACAGAAAUAUGAAGAGUGUAAGCAGAUCGAUUUCUGAAGGUCUAAUGAUAAGGCUUUGCAAGAUGGAAAAAGCUGAAAAUGGACCUGAGGGCGAGCACAAAAGGAAAUGCAAUAUGGUGCUUCCAAAAUCGGUCAGGAGAGAAUUAUUGCAAACCUGGGCCCUUCAUGGGAGGAAGCUGCACAGGAGGCAGAAAUGAGUGAAAUGACCUAGAGAUGACAGUGCCUGUAAAAAUACAGUGAGUGCUAAUGAUGCAGGACAGAGGGGAAAAUGCAAACACACCACGUUAUGGAUCAGCAAAUGGACAGGCCCUGUUUUUGGGGCACCACUGAGAGCAGCUAAAAGUGCCUCAUUGGCAGAUAUUAGUGGGAAAG